GAUUUUUUUUUUUUUUUACAAAAUUUACAUAAAACGACAAUUCUAAAAACAGAAGUUCCAAUAAAUGAUGCCAACCUCUCAUUUAAAAGUAAAGACAAUGUUUGCCAUCAAUUUGUUUUUAAAAAUCAUACAGUUUCUUUGUUUAUUUGUUAAGCAAAGUUCGGCCCCACGAGAAAUCGUUAAAAUGUAUACAUUAUCAACUGAUUUACCAUAGACAGUAUGUGUAAAGUGAUAUUCAAAAAGCGGUAAAAAUCUUAAAACUAAACCGAAAGGUUCCAAAUUUACUGUGUGUUGUUUUCAUAUCUAAAGCAUUGAUUUGAGACGAAAAUAAAAAAAAACAUUUUUUUGCAUUUUUUGAGAUUUCAAAAAACACUUUUUUCCCAAAAAUUUGAAAAAAAAACAAUAUUUCAACCCAUUAAUUACAACAUGAACAUAACUUGAUUAGCAUAUUGAAUAUUUUUAAACAAACUUGAAAUUUUAUUUAGUACUUAGAAAAUUAUCUGUCGAUUUUUUAUUCAACUUUCCG
rnacentral:lncRNA from 1 species